AGAGUUUGAUCCUGGCUCAGGACAAACGCUGGCGGCAUGCCUAACACAUGCAAGUCGAACGGACGGAGAAAGAUGGAGACUUCGGUCAAAGUUUUUCCGAGUUAGUGGCGGAUGGGUGAGUAACGCGUGGAUAACCUACCUUUCAGCGGGGAAUAACCGUGAGAAAUCACAGCUAAUACCGCAUACGAUUACCGAAUCGCAUGAUAUGGUAAAGAAAGACGGCCUUAGUGCUGUCACUGAAAGAUGGAUCCGCGUCUGAUUAGCCAGUUGGUGAGGUAACGGCUCACCAAAGCAACGAUCAGUAGCCGGCCUGAGAGGGUGAACGGCCACAUUGGGACUGAGAAACGGCCCAAACUCCUACGGGAGGCAGCAGUGGGGAAUCUUCCGCAAUGGGCGCAAGCCUGACGGAGCAAUGCCGCGUGAGUGAAGACGGCCUUCGGGUUGUAAAACUCUGUCCUUAUUGAAGAGAGCUUGAGGUAGUAACUGACCUUAAGAGGACGGUAAAUAAGGAGGAAGCCCCGGCUAACUAUGUGCCAGCAGCCGCGGUAAAACAUAGGGGGCAAGCGUUGUCCGGAAUUACUGGGCGUAAAGGGCGCGUAGGCGGCCUGUUAAGUCAGAUGUGAAAUUUAGGGGCUCAACCCCUAGCGUGCAUCUGAAACUGGCAAGCUAGAGUAUGGAAGAGGUAAGUGGAAUUCCUAGUGUAGCGGUGAAAUGCGUAGAUAUUAGGAGGAACACCAGU
rnacentral:rRNA from 1 species